rnacentral:sRNA from 1 species
AGAGAAGAAACAGAAACAGAGUAAAA